UACGGAGGAUGCAAGCGUUAUCCGGAAUGAUUGGGCGUAAAGCGUCCGCAGGUGGCUAUGUAAGUCUGCUGUUAAAGAGUGAGGCUCAACCUCAUAAGAGCAGUGGAAACUACAUGGCUAGAGUGCGUUCGGGGCAGAGGGAAUUCCUGGUGUAGCGGUGAAAUGCGUAGAUAUGCGGAGGAACACCGAUGGCGAAGGCGCUCUGCUAGGCCGCAACUGACACUGAGGGACGAAAGCUAGGGGAGCGAAUGGG
rnacentral:rRNA from 1 species